CAAUUGCAUUCCACCUAAGACGCGGUCGAAUCGGUGUGGGGGUAAGGGGCGUGGCCGAGAGGCAAUUUCUUCACACCCACGUGGCUGGUGGGGGGGGUAAAGGUGCGCUGCUUAGGGUAACUGGGAGACAGGCUCCUCCCACUGACACGCCCUAAACACGGGCUGCUGUGACAGCGGGGUUAUAGCGUUGUGACCCAUCCCACUGUUCAAUAUAUACUAUGGGAGCAUGCUCUAUACAGUCACUAUAUAUAUAUGGUAUAUACUAUGGGAGCAUGCUCUAUACAGUCACCAUAUAUAUAUGGUAUAUACUAUGUGAGCAUGCUCUAUACAGUCACUAUAUUUAUGGUAUAUACUAUGGGAACAUGCUCUAUACAGUCACUAUAUAUAUAUGGUAUAUACUAUGGGAACAUGCUCUAUACAGUCACUAUAUAUAUAUGGUAUAUACUAUGGGAACAUGCUCUAUACAGUCACUAUAUUUAUGGUAUAAUAUGGAAGCAUGCUCUAUAUAUUGUAUAAUAUGUCACUCUAUAUAUUGUAUAAUAUGGGAGCAUGCUCUAUACAGUCACUCUAUAUAUGGUAUACACUAUGGGAACAUGCUCUAUAUUCACAUAUAUGAUAUAUAGUAUGGGAACAUGAUCUAUAUAUAACAUUUUGUAAUUUGUAUCAUUCAAUAGUAAAUUCCCCCUUUUAUAAUUUUGUAAAGCGCUGCAAAAUAAUACCAAUAAUAAUAAUGUAGAAUGCAUGCAAACUAUAUUCCAGAAAUAUUCUGUCUGUCUCAGAAUACAUGCAUGGAACAUGUUUAUGGGGACAUCAAAUAUGCAAUUUACUAUUGCCGUAUCUGUAUAUGGGAGGCACACUCUGAUAAAUUUUCAUAUUUCACUACAGGUUGAAAUACCUGUGUAUAAAGCAAUGUAUAUUAGCUGUACAUAAUGUUUCCAUGGUUACAGUGCAAAUUUAAAUAUGUGGAUCAUGUUAGACUGCAUAUGCCAAUUGCCAAUAUUUUAUUUGUAAGGAUAAGACAUCUUGCAGCUGUGACAUUAGAGGUGAACGAUUUAAUAUAUUUUAUACCUUUUUUUUAUACCUCUACUUGUAAUGUAAAAUUUUAACAAUGUUACAUGGCACAGUAUUCACUGAACAAAUUAUUAUUAUUUUAUUAUUUAUAUAGCGCCAUCGGAUUCCGUAGCGCUGUACAGUGGGUUGACUAACAGACAUGUAAUUGUAACCAGACAACUGGAUGUACAGGAACAGAGAGGUGGAGGGCCCUGAUUAUUCUUUUUAUAAUUUUAUAUGUAUAUAGUGAACAUUGUGCUAUGUAAUGUUGUGACCAGAAUAGAAUACUCUUGUGACCAGUUUUUGGCGCUCUAUAUACAGUGAAUAUUUCAUUAUAGUGAAUGUGUGGAAUAUAUAUUUUACAAGCUUCCGGGAGAUCCUUCCUUUGUCAUGUCUAAAUGUUUUAGAACUUAGAAAGGGAUGAUCUCCCCAAAAAAGGUUUUUAUUUUGUUCCAAAAUUGUGUUAGUCCAAUGAAAAAGGAAUUCCAAGAUAGUAAUUGAAUUUAUUUUACAUCAGCUUCAUUGGAUGAAUACAGUUACAAUUUAUAUACAUAUAUUUUAGACACAUUCACUCUAACACACACAUAUAAUAUCUCUCAGUGAUCACACUCCUCAGCCUAGUACAAAAUCCCAGUCAGUCUCUCAUGUAAGUGGAGGGGGGUGGAGGAGGAGACGAGAGAGGAGGAGCAAAAGCUGCAUCUUAUUUAUUUAUUUCUCUCUGUCUCGCUUGCUCUCUCUCUCUCUCUCUCUAAAUGCUUAAGGUGAAGAGUGCAGAGCUAGCCGAUCUCAACACAUGGUUCAACCCAUCUCUGUCCCAGGAGGAGAAAGACACAGAGAGCGAGUAAGCAAGAGAGAGACUCCCAGACAGAGAUAGAAGAAGCAGAGGGGAGCAUCUUGAUACUAAACCGUCCAAAGCAGGUGUGAAACACAUCUCACACCCAGCCUACCACUCUCCUAUUGAGGGUUCCUGACUGAUUCCUUCUCUGUGCUUUCUGUCCAGACCUUUGGAUUUGGGGGGGGAGGACGCACCCCGUUAUUCCAAACUGUUCACCACCAAAAUGACAAUGAGCUUAUCAGCAUCUCACUUUGUACCUGCAGCAUCUCCCCACGUGUGGCUCCUGGUUGUAGUAGGGGAGCACGCAUGAGGAAUUAGAGAAGGGGGUUGCGCAUUCUGAACUGACCAGGGCAAAUAAAAACCCAAUAUAACGAAGGUGUAAUCUGGAACCAUCAAGAAUUCCCAAGACAAGGAGAGAGGAGCAAUGAAUUUAUUUCUUAUUAAAGACUGAGCUGUAAAUUUAAAAGGGGGGCUGGAAUUUUUACAUCCCCCCCACCCCCCUCCCACACACACACAGCUUACAGCCUGCAAAAUUUGGGGUUGGAAGAAUGAUUUGCCUCUGAAUUUUAAUAGGAUUCCCCUUCAUAUAUCUAACAUCUGUUGCUGCAAACGACUGAGAAUAGACACCUUUUUGGACAGAUUUCAAACACACCUCCCUUUCUUUUAAACAUACAGAAAUCUCUUUAUAGAUCGUAUCUGGAAUUUACAUUUUUGGCAAAUGUACCGGCUUCUAUUUAACUGUUGCUGUCCUCAACAGAAGAAAAAAUGUCAGAAAUAUUUCAAGAUUUUUGCUCUUAAGACAACAUUCUCAAAGCUAUACAACAGCAUCCUACUGCAAUGAAUUGACAUAAAUAUAGUGAUUAUUUUUUAAAUCAUUAAAUAUUUUAUUGAAAAGACACACAUAUAUAUACAUAUAAAUAUAUAUAUGUGUUACAUAUAUAUAUGUAACAGUCUGAAAACUGCAUAUGCAGGCUGCAAUUUCCUAGCAAAUACAUUUGCAAUAUUUAUUACGAUUAAGAAGGCAAUUACAAUUUGUCGUUCAAGUACUUACUGAUAUUUGAGUAGGAUUUAUCAUUUGCCCUGCUAUUAUUUUUUGCCCUUUAAAAAAAAGCUAAUUUAUUAAAUGUAUUUGGAGAAAUAGCCC